AGAAACAUUCCUCGGAUCUUGUCCCCUGGACCUUGGACUUUUGGUGUGGAUGAUCAGGGCCUACCAAAGCAAGGUUUCUCAAACUGUGGGGUGUUUGUUUUGAUGUACACUCUGUACAUUGCAAUGGAAGCACAGGAAACAUGCAGAAAAUUAGGUGAUGGUGGUGCCUCGUUCUCCUGCAGAACUUUCCCAUGCAGUCUGAAGAGGUUGAAAGAUUGAAAAAGGCGGCGAAAACAAAACGCACUACAGGAAUAUGUAGAAGUUGUCCCCCUCCCCCCCAAGAAAACUCUGCAUGUCACAUCAGCAUCCAGCUCUGCAGGAUCAGGAAGCAGAUGUUCUUUUCAGGGACACACUAGAGGCAGCAAGGUGGUGCAAACUCAGUUUUAAAGGCACUGGUUUCCCUCCCUAGUGUAAUGGGGAUGGACGGGGAAGACCGCAUUACAACCCUUAAAGAACUACGGUUGUAUGAAGAGGAAAACACUCUCCUCAAGGAACCAUUCAUGUUACAGAGAGAUUAUGAGAUGUUCUAUGUGGAGGCAGUUGACAAGAAUUAUUGUCUUUGCCUCUCUGUUGAGGAGCAGGAUUGAAGCCAUUUUUGAGCUGUGGUCAAACCUUGUUUUUGUCUGUGGUGUUUGUUGUUUGUUUCAUGUUGUUCAGUAAAGAUGUAGAAGUCACCCGCGUCUCUGAUCUC